rnacentral:ribozyme from 15 species
GACAAAGGUCAAAAGAAUCAAUGGGAAGACAUGAGAUUGUUUUACAUUCCUCUCGAAUUCUUGUGAUAUGUUCUUUGGCAACUUCCAGUCGGUUUCUAUCUUUUUCCAUUCUCCGAAUCCUCGCAAAAUUGACGAA